ACGCGUGGGAACGUACCUUUUGGUUCGGAACAACACAGGGAAACUUGUGCUAAUACCGGAUAAGCCCUUACGGGGAAAGAUUUAUCGCCGAGAGAUCGGCCCGCGUCUGAUUAGCUAGUUGGUGAGGUAACGGCUCACCAAGGCGACGAUCAGUAGCUGGUCUGAGAGGAUGAUCAGCCACAUUGGGACUGAGACACGGCCCAAACUCCUACGGGAGGCAGCAGUGGGGAAUAUUGGACAAUGGGCGCAAGCCUGAUCCAGCCAUGCCGCGUGAGUGAUGAAGGCCCUAGGGUUGUAAAGCUCUUUUGUGCGGGAAGAUAAUGACGGUACCGCAAGAAUAAGCCCCGGCUAACUUCGCGCCAGCAGCCGCGGUAAUACGAAGGGGGCUAGCGUUGCUCGGAAUCACUGGGCGUAAAGGGUGCGUAGGCGGGUCUUUAAGUCAGGGGUGAAAUCCUGGAGCUCAACUCCAGAACUGCCUUUGAUACUGAGGAUCUUGAGUUCGGGAGAGGUGAGUGGAACUGCGAGUGUAGAGGUGAAAUUCGUAGAUAUUCGCAAGAACACCAGUGGCGAAGGCGGCUCACUGGCCCGAUACUGACGCUGAGGCACGAAAGCGUGGGGAGCAAAC
rnacentral:rRNA from 1 species